AGAUUGAACGCUAGCGGGAUGCUUUACACAUGCAAGUCGAACGGCAGCGCGGACUUCGGUCUGGCGGCGAGUGGCGAACGGGUGAGUAAUAUAUCGGAACGUGCCCAGUAGCGGGGGAUAACUACGCGAAAGCGUGGCUAAUACCGCAUACGCCCUACGGGGGAAAGGGGGGGAUUCUUCGGAACCUCUCACUAUUGGAGCGGCCGAUAUCAGAUUAGCUAGUUGGUGAGGUAAAGGCUCACCAAGGCCGCGAUCUGUAGCUGGUUUGAGAGGACGACCAGCCACACUGGGACUGAGACACGGCCCAGACUCCUACGGGAGGCAGCAGUGGGGAAUUUGGACAAUGGGGGAAACCCUGAUCCAGCCAUCCCGCGUGUGCGAUGAAGGCCUUCGGGUUGUAAGCACUUUGGCGAGGAAGAAACGGCGUCGACUAAUAUUUGACGUCACUGACGGUACCUGCAGAAUAAGCAACCGCUAACUACGUGCCAGCAGCCGCGGUAACUCGU
rnacentral:rRNA from 1 species